rnacentral:rRNA from 1 species
UACAGAGGGGGCAAGCGUUUGUUCGGAAUUACUGGGCGUAAAGGGCGCGUAGGCGGCCUUCUAAGUCGAACGUGAAAUCCCCGGGCUCAACCCGGGAACUGCGUCCGAUACUGGAAGGCUUGAAUCCGGGAGAGGGAUGCGGAAUUCCAGGUGUAGCGGUGAAAUGCGUAGAUAUCUGGAGGAACACCGGUGGCGAAGGCGGCAUCCUGGACCGGUAUUGACGCUGAGGCGCGAAAGCCAGGGGAGCAAAGCGGG